CAGCAGCCGCGGUAAUACGGAGGGUGCAAGCGUUAAUCGGAAUUACUGGGCGUAAAGCGUGCGUAGGCAGUUCGUUAAGUCUGUUGUGAAAGCCCCGGGCUCAACCUGGGAAUGGCAAUGGAUACUGGCGAGCUAGAGUGUGUCAGAGGAAGGUGGAAUUCCCGGUGUAGCGGUGAAAUGCGUAGAGAUCGGGAGGAACAUCAGUGGCGAAGGCGGCCAUCUGGGACAACACUGACGCUGAGGCACGAAAGCGUGGGGAGCAAACAGGAUUAGAUACCCCGGUAGUCCCUGUCUCUUAUAC
rnacentral:rRNA from 1 species